UUGGAGGCUGUCGCUGGCUGGCAUAAAGCAUGUGCACGUCUCUUUCUCUUUCUCUACCUUUCUCUUUCUCACACACACACCCACCUUUGUGCAUCCAUUGUAGGCCCUCGAAAGGGGAUCUAUGUUUUAACUUAUCACCCAGUUGUAUGUCCAUAGAAUGUAUCCAAUAUUUUAUACAACUUUCAGCAACGGAUCUCUUGGCUCUCGCAUCGAUGAAGAACGCAGCGAAUUGCGAUAAGUAAUGUGAAUUGCAGAUUUUCAGUGAAUCAUCGAAUCUUUGAACGCACCUUGCGCCCCUUGGUAUUCCGAGGAGCAUGCCUGUUUGAGUGUCAUUGAAUUCUCAACCAUGCCUUGAUUGAUUUUGUGGUGUGGCUUGGAAAUUGGAAGUUGCCGGCGUUGAGAAAUCUUGUCGGCUCUUCUGAAAUUUAUUAGUGAUGGAUGGCAACAAGUCUAUACAUGCACGGUCUUUCGACGUGAUAAUGAUCGUUGUGGGCUGGAGUGGGAAUGGCUUUUGCCCAUUUGCUUCCAACAUUUUGGAAGACUCUUUGACUUUUGUUUCAGCUCGUAAAUGUUAGCUACUAGUUGGUCGCAAGACUAGCGAAUGCAACAGAAGCUUGCUUGAUCAAAGGUCUUUGGUCUACAACUUUUGAUGACUUGACCUCAAAUCAGGUAGGAACUACCCGCUGAACUUAAGCAUAUCAAUAAGCGGA
rnacentral:rRNA from 1 species